CCUACGGGCGGCAGCAGUGGGGGAUAUUGCACAAUGGGGGGAACCCUGAUGCAGCGACGCCGCGUGGGUGAAGGAGCGUUUCGGCGCGUAAAGCCCUAUCGGCAGGGAAGAAGAUUACGGUACCUGGCCAAGAAGCCCCGGCUAACUACGUGCCAGCAGCCGCGGUAAUACGUAGGGGGCAAGCGUUAUCCGGAUUUACUGGGUGUAAAGGGGGCGCAGGCGGCAAUGCAAGCCAGGAGUGAAAGCCCGGGGCCAAACCCCGGGACUGCUCUUGGAACUGCAUGGCUGGAGUACAGGAGGGGCAGGCGGAAUUCGUAGUGUAGCGGUGAAAUGCGUAGAUAUUAGGAGGAACACCGGUGGCGAAGGCGGCCUGCUGGACUGUGACUGACGUUGAGGCCCGAAGGCGUGGGGAGCAAACAGGAUUAGAUACCCGAGUAGUC
rnacentral:rRNA from 1 species